rnacentral:lncRNA from 1 species
AACUAGGUGGAAAUUUAAGAUGGUGUUUAUUUAUUCCUCUUUUCACUUAUUCAUUUAUUCCAUAGAUGUGCCUAUUCAUUUAUUCCAUAGACAUUAAUGAGGGCUAUCUGUGAAGACAUUAAUGAGGGCUUCAGACAGCUCCAGACCACAGAAACUGAAGACAUCCAAAAAAUGCAAGGUGGCUGGUGGGUCAGUGUUCACUUGAGAGAUCUGCAGAUGACUGGAACAAAUGCCUGUGGUGGAGAAGAAUACUAAAAAGGUGAAGUUGGCUCCUGCAGAAGGACUUGAGGGAAGGCAGAGAUGUAUAGUAUGAGGGAACUCACUUAGGGAAGUUUUUUUAGCUGUUGGACUCUCUGAGAAGGAUAAUGCAAGGACCAGAGAAAGAAAGGCUUCAUCUUACAAAGGACAUCACAUUUAAGGACAGGAAUCAAAUAAAGCUUGUUGUCUAAAGAGGAAAAGAAUAGACAAGCGUGCUAACAUUUCUUGUGUCUGUAAAGUAGCACUGGGGGAGGAAGGCAAGGGGACUUUCAGUAGAAGGACCACUCCGGCAAAAGCAUGGAGGGUCACCCCUAACUGCUGUGUGCCUCAGCUUCCUCAGGUGUGAAAUGCAAAUGAUAAGAGUAUCAUCCCAUCCUCCCUCAGAUGAUGAUGGGAAGGAUUAAAUGAAUUCAUGUAUGUAAAGACUUUAGAACAGUGCCUGGAACAUGAUAAGCAUUAAGCAGAUGUUCCCACUCUAAUGGUUAUUGCAAAAUUCAGAGUAACAGGAAAUCUUGAUCAAGAUUUCUAAAGUCAUUGGGAUGCUUAGAAUUUGCUGAGCAACUUCAACAACUGAGACUUUGACUUGAAUAAGAUGGAGAAAGGUCCAUGAUUUUGGAGAAUCUUCAUUUCUUUCCAGCUCCAGUAAUAACCCUGGCCUCUUUCCAACCCUUUAGUCACUGCUUCUCAGAAAAGAGGAGUGGCUUGUCUGAUUAGUAAACUUGGGAAAGGAACUUAGUUGGAAGAUGCCACUUUGUCCUUUCUCUUUUCUUUCACUUUUGGAUCCAGCUUUCCUGAGGAAAGUCUGAUUUCUCUGCUUCUACAUAUUACAAACCUGCAGGGUCAGGUCUGUGAUUGUCCAGAGUUGCCUGUUGCUGGCUGGACACAUUUGUCAAAAUCAGAGAGAAUGUAAGAAGCCUGUUGUGGCUAUAAUCUGCCCACUUUCAAAACAACCAUGUAUUUAUUAUAAGAAAGCUGAUAUUUUAAUGUCCAUUUCUCUGAUCUUGGGGGAAUUUGAAUCCAGGAGUGGAAAAGAAGGGUGUUAUUUUGUGGGCUUUCUAAAUAUGAAAGUUAAAAAUUAUACAAGGCACUAAAGUUUUCAUUUCAAAGCAAGUAAACGCUAUGUAAAAAAGAAAGUGUGCUAUUAUACCUAGGUGUCUAUUUCUUUUCUGUCUUGAUUAUUUUGGAUAUCUAAAUUUUUAUAUCUCACUUUCAUGGUGUAGCUGACUAAGCCAUUAGUAACUUUAAUAAAGUGUUCUAUUUUUACAAAAGGAUGUUUUCCUAACAUGUGCUCUAUCCAUGCCCAAUGAGUACUUGGUAGCCACCCAAAUGCAAGCCAAUUUCCAUAGUGGUAAUUAAUGACAACACUGCUAUUCCUAUCACAUUCAACUCUACGUCUCAAUUAAUAUUCCCAACAUACGGUGACCUAAUGAAUCACUUGUAUCUAGAAUGGUGCGUCUGUCCAAACCAGUGGUUCUUCACCAAGAGGGCAUACUUGAUUCACUUUGGGAGCUUUUAUAAACUAUGCAAGAACAUUCUACCCUUCCCUCACACAAUAUCCUAGCCACCUUAAGGUCAGAGUAAUCACCAAUUAAGUUAGAAAACAGACUGUAGAUUCUUCAUUUGGCUUA